rnacentral:rRNA from 1 species
UUACACAUGCGAGUUGUGCGAUAAAAUGUUGAAAUAUCGCAGCGAACGGGUGAGGAAUACGCAAAUAUUUUUUGUCUACCUUUUAACUUAAGAUAAACUAUACCUAUUAAAAAUUUUGAUUUU